UACGGGGGGGGGCAAGCGUUGUUCGGAAUUACUGGGCGUAAAGGGCUCGUAGGCGGCCAACUAAGUCAGACGUGAAAUCCCUCGGCUUAACCGGGGAACUGCGUCUGAUACUGGAUGGCUUGAGUUUGGGAGAGGGAUGCGGAAUUCCAGGUGUAGCGGUGAAAUGCGUAGAUAUCUGGAGGAACACCGGGUGGCGAAAGGCGGCAUCCUGGACCAAUACUGACGC
rnacentral:rRNA from 1 species